rnacentral:rRNA from 1 species
AUUGAACGCUGGCGGCAGGCUUAACACAUGCAAGUCGAACGAUGAAACCUAGCUUGCUAGGUGGAAUAGUGGCGGACGGGUGAGUAACACUUAGGAAUCUACCUAAUAGCGGGGGAUAGCCCGGGGAAACUCGGAAUAAUACCGCAUAUUUUCUACGGAAGAAAGGGGGCAGAAUACUGCUCUCACUAUUAGAUGAGCCUAAGCAGGAUUAGCCAGAUGGUGGGGUAACGGCCUACCAUAGCGACGAUCCUUAGCUGGUCUGAGAGGAUGAUCAGCCACACUGGGACUGAGACACGGCCCAGACUCCUACGGGAGGCAGCAGUGGGGAAUAUUGGACAAUGGGGGGAACCCUGAUCCAGCCAUGCCGCGUGUGUGAAGAAGGCCUUUUGGUUGUAAAGCACUUUAAGUAGCGAAGAAGACCCCAUGGUUAAUACCCAUGGGCGAUGACAUUAACUACAGAAUAAGCACCGGCUAACUCUGUGCCAGCAGCCGCGGUAAUACAGAGGGUGCAAGCGUUAAUCGGAAUUACUGGGCGUAAAGCAAACGUAGGUGGUUAAAUAAGUCAGAUGUGAAAUCCCCGAGCUUAACUUGGGAACUGCAUCUGAAACUGUAUAACUAGAGUAGGUGAGAGGAAAGUAGAAUUCCAGGUGUAGCGGUGAAAUGCGUAGAGAUCUGGAGGAAUGCCGAUGGCGAAGGCAGCUUUCUGGCAUCAUACUGACACUGAGGUUCGAAAGCGUGGGUAGCAAACAGG